GAAAAAGAAAAGGAGGGCUGAAAAUGCACCCCUGUUAAGGGUGUUGGUCGCUAAAGCGGCGCGAGGGUUUAAAUCUCUCCUUCUCCUCCA
rnacentral:tRNA from 1 species